rnacentral:rRNA from 1 species
GGCAAAAGGGGUAGAAGAACGCGGGGGAUUGCAGUGGGUGGGAGAGUUAAUAGGGUUGAAGGGGCGUAAAGUGCGCGUAGGUGGCGAAUUAAGUCAAAUGGGAAAACCCCGAGCGUGACUUGGGAAUUGCAUUCGAUACUGGUGGGCUAGAGUAUGGGAGAGGAUGGUAGAAUUCCAGGUGUAGCGGUGAAAUGCGUAGAGAUCUGGAGGAAUACCGAUGGCGAAGGCAGCCAUCUGGCCUAAUACUGACACUGAGGUGCGAAAGCAUGGGGAGCAAACAGGAUAGAUACCCCUGUAGUC